UUUCGAAUCAUUCACAAUGGGCGAAAGCCUGAUGGUGCGACGCCGCGUGAGGGAUGAAGGUCUUCGGAUUGUAAACCUCUGUCACUGGGGAAGAAACGCUUCAAGUUAAUAGCCUGAAGCCUGACUUAACCCGGAGAGGAAGCAGUGGCUAACUCUGUGCCAGCAGCCGCGGUAAUACAGAGACUGCAAGCGUUAUUCGGAUUCACUGGGCGUAAAGGGUGCGCAGGUGGCCAAGUGUGUGAGGCGUGAAAGCCCGUUGCUCAACAGCGGAAUUGCACCUCAAACUACAUGGCUAGAGCAUUGGAGAGGGGAGCAGAAUUCACGGUGUAGCAGUGAAAUGCGUAGAUAUCGUGAGGAAUACCAGAGGCGAAGGCGGCUCCCUGGACAAUAGCUGACACUCAGGCACGAAAGCGUGGGGAGCAAAAGGGAUUAGAUACCCCCGUAGUCC
rnacentral:rRNA from 1 species